CAGCAGCAGCCGCGGGAAUACAGAGGGUGCAAGCGUUAAUCGGAAUUACUGGGCGUAAAGCGCGCGUAGGUGGUUUGUUAAGUUGGAUGUGAAAUCCCCGGGCUCAACCUGGGAACUGCAUCCAAAACUGGCAAGCUAGAGUAUGGUAGAGGGUGGUGGAAUUUCCUGUGUAGCGGUGAAAUGCGUAGAUAUAGGAAGGAACACCAGUGGCGAAGGCGACCACCUGGACUGAUACUGACACUGAGGUGCGAAAGCGUGGGGAGCAAACAGGAUUAGAUACCCGCGUAGUCCCUGUCUCUUAUAA
rnacentral:rRNA from 1 species